GCCCGAGUAGCUCAGCCGGUUAGAGCAUCUGACUGUUAAUCAGAGGGUCCCCCGUUCGAGUCGGGGCUCGGGCGCCA
rnacentral:tRNA from 1 species